AACAAGAUAACCAUUAUUCAGACCAAUGCCUUCAAUGGUUUGUCAAAUUUACAGAAUCUAAAUCUUCACGGAAACGAAAUCACCACGAUACAGGACAAUGCCUUCGCCAGCUUAUACAAUUUACGUAAACUGUGGUUACAUAACAACAAGAUAACCAUUAUUCAGACCAAUGCCUUCGAUGGUUUGUCAAAUUUACAGGAACUAAUUCUUUACGAAAACGAAAUCACCACGAUACAGGACAAUGUCUUCUCAAGCUUAUACAAUUUACGUAAACUGUGGUUACAUAACAACAAGAUAACCAUUAUUCAGACCAAUGCCUUCGAUGGUUUGUCAAAUUUACAGGAACU